rnacentral:lncRNA from 1 species
CAAGACCCCAAGAGAUGGACUUUCCUCUCCCCUUCCUUCUUUCAGAACUGGCAUCCUUCAUCUCUGUCUUUGCAGGCCCAAUUAUACAGAUCCUCGGGGCUUCAAUAGGGUCUGAGUCAUUGGAACCAGGAACACCUGACUGAAACAUUCCACAUAAUUAGAUUUUCUUUUUCUUUACCUUUUCUUUCUUUUUUUUUUUUUUUUUAAAUAAGAGGUCUAGAAUUAGCCUUUUCGACUGGGGCGGAGUAGCUGGGGUGGGGGAAAGGAACACCUUCAUACAACUUCCAGCUUUCAGCCCCUUGGAGAGAUCUCCAAGUUCCCCCGAGCCGCCGGGACUUCCUUUCCUCGAUCUCUCGGCCGCCUCCUCCUCCUUCUCCGAUCGUGUUUUUUUUUUUUUUUUCUCCCUCCCGUCACUGUCUUCUCUGCGGUUUAAUUAAAGUUCAGCGACUCCACUUGCCUCUCCUCUCAUUUCUUUCGGAAAGCGGAAACCAGACGACCCAGCGGCCACGGGCCGAGCCGCCCCAACUCAACCCCAGCAGGACGCUGGAGGGGCCUCCCUCGCCUGCCUCCCUUCGCCGGCGCUGGCCUCCCGCACCCGGGUCUGCAGUCCCUCCGCCAUCUCGCAGGCCUCUCCACUUGCCCGAGCUUUCAGCCACCAGGAGACUGACAGAAGGGGCUUCUGGGCUGCUUUGGGAGUGGGCACUGUCCCCCACCCACUCCUGUUCUGUUUCCCAAAGUCCAGCGACCUCCGACCCUCCUUGGGGGGAAAAAUACCAGUACCCAGAUACCUCUGCACCCUGUUAUAUGACUGGGCUUGCUUCAGGAAUAUCUUACAAAGAAGAAGAAGAAGAAAGAACGGCUUGGAGUCAUGUUUACAUCUAGUUCUACUGAUACGUUCACAUCUGGAGAGUUUAUUUAUAACUCCCUCUAUAACUCUCUGUUUGGAGGCACUGGUGGCUCUAUUGACAGACUGAUGUCUAGGAAAUAUUGCUCUAUGUCUAACCGUACCUAAAUGUGCUGUGGUUGUAUUUACAGAUUUAUGUUUGAGGGAAAUAUAAUUUUUCCAUUGUAUUUGUGCAUAUACAGUAGUUAUAACAGCAGAUUUAUAUAUGGGAAAAUAUACGACUCUCUUACAGCCAUCCGGCUUUAUGUACAUUUGAUAUCCUGACAGAUUUAUAUCUCUGAACAGCUAUAUAGAUAAAAAUG